ACUCCUACGGGAGGCAGCAGUGGGGAAUAUUGCACAAUGGGCGCAAGCCUGAUGCAGCCAUGCCGCGUGUAUGAAGAAGGCCUUCGGGUUGUAAAGUACUUUCAGCAGUGAGGAAGGUGGGUAUGUUAAUAGCAUAUUCAUUUGACGUUAGCUGCAGAAGAAGCACCGGCUAACUCCGUGCCAGCAGCCGCGGUAAUACGGAGGGUGCGAGCGUUAAUCGGAAUUACUGGGCGUAAAGCGCAUGCAGGUGGUUUGUUAAGUCAGAUGUGAAAGCCCGGGGCUCAACCUCGGAAUUGCAUUUGAAACUGGCAAACUAGAGUACUGUAGAGGGGGGUAGAAUUUCAGGUGUAGCGGUGAAAUGCGUAGAGAUCUGAAGGAAUACCGGUGGCGAAGGCGGCCCCCUGGACAGAUACUGACACUCAGAUGCGAAAGCGUGGGAGCAAACAGGAUUAGAUACCCUGAUAGGCUCUGC
rnacentral:rRNA from 1 species